rnacentral:rRNA from 1 species
GACGAACGCUGGCGGCGUGCUUAACACAUGCAAGUCGAACGGAAAGGCCCUGCUUUUGUGGGGUGCUCGAGUGGCGAACGGGUGAGUAACACGUGAGUAACCUGCCCUUGGCUUUGGGAUAACUUCAGGAUACUGGGGCUAAUACCGGAUAGGAGCUCCUGCUGCAUGGUGGGGGUUGGAAAGUUUCGGCGGUUGGGGAUGGACUCGCGGCUUAUCAGCUUGUUGGUGGGGUAGUGGCUUACCAAGGCUUUGACGGGUAGCCGGCCUGAGAGGGUGACCGGCCACAUUGGGACUGAGAUACGGCCCAGACUCCUACGGGAGGCAGCAGUGGGGAAUAUUGCACAAUGGGCGGAAGCCUGAUGCAGCAACGCCGCGUGCGGGAUGACGGCCUUCGGGUUGUAAACCGCUUUCGCCUGUGACGAAGCGUGAGUGACGGUAAUGGGUAAAGAAGCACCGGCUAACUACGUG